CCAUGAAGCGUGGACCAGGGCCAAGGACCGAGGUGCUGGGGCGGGAUAGAGAGCCGGCUGGUGACUGAACAGGACAGCUGCCAGGUUUUUCCCAAACUCAUCAAUACUGGGAGUAAAUUAUGCCUCAGUCAAGGAAGUUCCUCCCCCGAAAGACACUGAGGCCAGGGAUGGCUCAGCAGGACCAAGGCGAAGGCAGGACCAGAUACUGGGCCGCGCCGUUUCCCGUCCUGGAUGCCGAACAGCACGAACUUGUACUUGCGGGAGGACUCCAGGCCGGGGACAGUGACU